AUUUAAUUCAACAUCGAGGUCGCAAACCCAAUUAUAAAUAAGAACUCUCCAAUUAAAUUACGCUGUUAUCCCUAGAGUAACUUUAUUAAUAAUUAUUAAACCUACAUUUUAACUUAAUAUUAAAAAUUUCUAUCUUCAACAGUUACCCCAACUAAAAAUACCAAUAUUUUAAGCUUCUAGGGUCUUAUCGUCCCAAGGAUAAAUAUAGACUUUUUUAUCUAUAAAUUAAAUUCAAAUUCAUUAAAUAAAACUUUCCUUUCAGUAUCUACCUUUCAUUCCAGUCUCCAAUUAAAAAA
rnacentral:rRNA from 1 species